GACUGAGAAAUCCUCAGGGAGAAGGCAUGGUUGACGUCAAGUGGAACAUGAGUCAGCAGUGCCCUGGCAGCCAGGAGGGCCAGCCCUGUCCUGGGGGGCAUCAGGACCAUCCUUUUUUUCUGAGGCACGCAGCGACUCGCUGCCAGCAGAGUGUGCGGAGCCCUCCCCUCAGCCCAGCUUUCAAGCCUCGUUGGAUCCAUACGCUUCGAGUGAUCAGGGUGAUUUUUCUCCUGGUUUCUGCACAGGUUUGACUCGUAGCUGUCUCGUCCACGCAAUGAUGGCCAUAUGCUCUUGGGUGCCAGCAGCAGAAAGAGGGAAAAGACUUAUGUUCUUCAGAGAACUGUGUCCGUCGUUAGUGCAGCUGCUGCCGUAACAGCACAGGGCUGGUGAGCUCCCAGUUUUCCUGCUAAGACUCUCUACUCGUUUAUGACAUGAUAUUUUGCACUCAGAUUUGUCAUGCACCUCCCAGGUUGGAAAUCAUAUUUCAAGCCAUUAAAUCUCCUAAGUCCUAUCUCCAACAAUGUGCUUCAUAGAAAAAUGUCUGAAAGGCCUUUUUUUUUUUUUUCCUGUGAAAAUACAGUAAUAAAUUUGAGGUUUAAGGCUGUAAGGGUUUGGAAA